UGGGGAGGAAGAACAGGGGGAGGACAUGUGCGGGAAAGGGUCAUGAGCGGGACUCGAACCCAUGACCUCCGCAUCGGGACUGUAGCCCUGUACAUGGGACGCCAGCUC